rnacentral:rRNA from 1 species
UUUCCGUAGGGGUAACCUGCGGAGGGAUCAUUACUGAGUACUACACUCUCUACCCUUUGUGAACUAUUAUACCUGUUGCUUCGGCGGCGCCCGCGAGGGUGCCCGCCGGUCUCAUCAGAAUCUCUGUUUUCGAACCCGACGAUACUUCUGAGUGUUCUUAGCGAACUGUCAAAACUUUUAACAACGGAUCUCUUGGCUCCAGCAUCGAUGAAGAACGCAGCGAAACGCGAUAUGUAAUGUGAAUUGCAGAAUUCAGUGAAUCAUCGAAUCUUUGAACGCACAUGGCGCCUUCCAGUAUCCUGGGAGGCAUGCCUGUCCGAGCGUCGUUUCAACCCUCGAGCCCCCGUGGCCCGGCGUUGGGGAUCUGCCACGGCAGGCCCCUAAAACCAGUGGCGGACCCGAAGGCCCUCUCCUUUGCGCAGUAGCAUCAGCCUCGCAUUGGGAUCCCUCGGCGUCCUGCCUCUAAACCCCCCACAAGUCCGCUCCGGCGGCACCAAGGUGACCUCGGAUCAGGUAGAAUCCCCAUUUUU